rnacentral:rRNA from 1 species
UCAUGGACGAAAGCCAGGGGAGCGAAAGGGAUUAGAUACCCCUGUAGUCCUGGCCGUAAACGAUGAACACUAGGUGUCGGGGGAAUCGACCCCCUCGGUGUCGUAGCUAACGCGUUAAGUGUUCCGCCUGGGGAGUACGCACGCAAGUGUGAAACUCAAAGGAAUUGACGGGGGCCCGCACAAGCGGUGGAGUAUGUGGUUUAAUUCGAUGCAACGCGAAGAACCUUACCAGGGUUUGACAUCCUGCGAACCUCUUAGAAAUUUGAGGGUGCCUUCGGGAAUGCAGUGACAGGUGGUGCAUGGCUGUCGUCAGCUCGUGUCGUGAGAUGUUGGGUUAAGUCCCGCAACGAGCGCAACCCACGUUUUUAGUUGCCAGCAUUUAGUUGGGCACUCUAGAAAGACCGCCGGUGAUAAACCGGAGGAAGGUGUGGAUGACGUCAAGUCAUCAUGCCCCUUACACCCUGGGCUACACACGUACUACAAUGCUACGGACAAAGGGCAGCAAACUCGCGAGAGCUAGCAAAUCCCAUAAACCGUGGCUCAGUUCAGAUCGUAGGCUGCAACUCGCCUACGUGAAGUAGGAAUCGCUAGUAAUCGCAGGUCAGCAUACUGCGGUGAAUACGUUCCCGGGCCUUGUACACACCGCCCGUCACACCAUGGAAGUUGGCCAUGCCCGAAGUCGUUACUCCAACCCUUGUGGAGGAGGACGCCGAAGAUGGGGCUAAUGACUGGGGUGAAGUCGUAACAAGGUA